GUAGGCUAGUGAUCAAGGUCUAGGCUAAGCUUUUCAUACAUUGUUACGUGGGGCUUUGCUAUCUAGACUGAUAAUAGGUCAGUGCGAGCAUAAUAGUAACAAUACAACAUGCUUGGGUUUGAGCUAUAUAACAUGUGGGUGCAGUUCGUAUAUAUGUAUACUUAAAGCUUAGCUGAGCAGUGUUUGCGUGAAGGUAGAGUGAGAUUGGAUAGGUG